UACGGAGGGGGUUAGCGUUGUUCGGAAUUACUGGGCGUAAAGCGCGCGUAGGCGGAUUAGAAAGUUGGGGGUGAAAUCCCGGGGCUCAACCCCGGAACUGCCUCCAAAACUACUAGUCUAGAGUUCGAGAGAGGUGAGUGGAAUUCCGAGUGUAGAGGUGAAAUUCGUAGAUAUUCGGAGGAACACCAGUGGCGAAGGCGGCUCACUGGCUCGAUACUGACGCUCAUGUGCGAAAGUGUGGGUAGCGAACAGG
rnacentral:rRNA from 1 species